rnacentral:rRNA from 1 species
CGCUGGCGGCGUGCCUAACACAUGCAAGUCGAACGGGACUUAGUAGAAAGCGGCUUCGGCCAAUGGAAGCUAAGUUUAGUGGCGAACGGGUGAGUAACGCGUGAGGAACCUGCCUUUCAGUGGGGGACAACAGUUGGAAACGACUGCUAAUACCGCAUAUAGCCUAAGGGUGAAAGCAGCAAUGCGCUAUCAGAUGUGCCCAAACGGGAUUAGCUAGUAGGUGAGGUAAAGGCUCACCUAGGCGACGAUCUCUAGCUGGUCUGAGAGGAUGAUCAGCCACAUUGGGACUGAGACACGGCCCAGACUCCUACGGGAGGCAGCAGUAGGGAAUAUUGCACAAUGGAGGAAACUCUGAUGCAGCCAUGCCGCGUGUGUGAAGAAGGCCUUCGGGUUGUAAAGCACUUUCGGAGGGGAGGAAAAGAUGACGUUACCCUCAGAAGAAGCACCGGCUAACUCCGUG